ensembl:lncRNA
GCGGCUCUAGCGUAAUGGAUUGGUAUAAGACCCGAACGCCGGCGACCGGGGUUCAAUUUCGCCGGUCUAUCAUCAUGCAUUUUACCCCCAUAGAUGUGGUGCCAGCACGGCCUUGAAAAUAUGCGUUCAAGUUCGAAAUAAGCACAAAAAUAUAAUUCCAUAAGCUUUAGUGAAUAAGUAUUCCAUAUGCAUGAGAAUUAGGACUUUUUAAGCUUCACAUAAAUUUGCAUCACUUGGGAGUCGACCCCCCCACGCCGAAAUUCAAGACUGACGCGCUACCUCCACUCUAGCACUCUUUCGAGGAGACACAAUGCGCAACAGUAAUCAUUGUCUACAUAAGGUCCAAAAGGACGAUCAAAUAACGAACACCCUCUGAUGAUAAUCUGUAUCUCUCAUGAAGAACCCCAAUUUCGUUGUUUGCACAAUGACAAUAAAGUCUGAAAUCUGAAUAUCGUCAGACAAUGCCAAGGGAUCGGUUCUGUCCCGUAAAACCCUCUGUCUCCGGAGAGACGCCUGUACGAGAAGUGCGCCGGGGUCCACCCACAAAUGGUGACGCCAUUGUCAGAGGAGGGGCUAGGAAGCUGCGCACGCCGAUUUAAGUAGCCGAUCUCCGGCUAGACUAAGCCGAAAAACUGCUCCCGACCAGGUUUGGUUGCGAGCAUAAGUCACCAUGGUGAUACAGCGACGCUAAAAGAGAUCGACUUUCGUGGUACAACUAACCCAGGCUUGGAGCUCAACUUACCUCGCUAACCCUCUAAGCGAGCUUCGUGGUACAGGGCCCAGAGCCCUGUUUCAGGUAGCUGGUUUAACAUACUCUGAGUUUAAUCCUGCGAUCUGAGUUGGUUGAUUCAGAGUUCAGGGUUGAAAAGCAACUCUGGGUUUUCGGUUUCAGAACAGGUGAUCAGCGUUGGGUUAAUCAACUCUGAGCGUGUUCACGCUUGGUUGGGGGCGUGCCUGUUGACUAUAAAGAGCCAUCAUCAAUGGAUCUCUGAUAACAUGAUCAAUAUGGACCAAAAACGUAGAUCCAGUUACUUUUCACACACGGAAUUGGAAAUAUUAAUGCACGCGUAUGCCGAGCAGAAACACAUUUUCACCCAAAAAAGCAAUACCGCCGCAGCAGCGAGAGCACGAGAGAGAGCUUGGCAGGAAAUAGCCGAACAAGUCAAUGCGAACAACCCGAGUUGCCCCAAGAGGACUUGGCAGCAAAUGAAAAUGAAGUAUAAAAAUAUAGUUCAAACAGCAAAUCGAAAAAAAGCAGAGGCCCGGAAGACUGGAGGGGGUCCACCACCUGCAGCCCUCACAGUGGCUGAGGAGAUGGCCCUCAGCCAACAGAGUAUGCGUCCUGUGGCUGAGGGCAUCCCUGGGGGGAGCUCCUCUGAUCCCCCCCCAGGAUAGAAGUGCCUUUAUCAGAGUUACUGAUGGCGUCAUCAACCUACUGGAACCAGAUGCCCUCACCAACCUCCAUGCAAUUGAAGAUGAUGGAGAAACAUUGUCUGCGGCAUUUGAAAGGGAAGAGGAAAGGCCUAUUGAGCAUGAAAUCGAAUUCAAUGAGAGGCCAUCCACUUCUAGCUCUACUUCACAGCUUACCUCUGUAAGAUUCUCCCUGGAAUUAUAAUGAAACGCUGUACUUGGCACUGUGAAAUCCAAUGUCAUCUUUUGCAUUCCUAUAGCUUCCAGUCAAAGAGCUCUAUAAAAUCUAUCUGGGAAAACAAAUAAACAAAGCAGACUUAGAAAUGGACCACAUAAGGCAAAAGAUGCAAAAGGAUGCUUUGGAGAUCCAAAUUUUGGAACACAAGUUAAAGGUGGGUGAUGUACAAACUGGGAUGCUGUUUCCUGCUCCAAAAACAUACCCAAUAUGAAUGACUUUUUUUUGUGCUUUCAGGAAAUAAA